rnacentral:rRNA from 1 species
AUUGAACGCUGGCGGCAGGCCUAACACAUGCAAGUCGAGCGGCAGCGGGAAAGUAGCUUGCUACUUUUGCCGGCGAGCGGCGGACGGGUGAGUAAUGCCUGGGAAAUUGCCCAGUCGAGGGGGAUAACAGUUGGAAACGACUGCUAAUACCGCAUACGCCCUACGGGGGAAAGCAGGGGACCUACGGGCCUUGCGCGAUUGGAUAUGCCCAGGUGGGAUUAGCUAGUUGGUGAGGUAAUGGCUCACCAAGGCGACGAUCCCUAGAUGGUCUGAGAGGAUGAUCAGCCACACUGGAACUGAGACACGGUCCAGACUCCUACGGGAGGCAGCAGUGGGGAAUAUUGCACAAUGGGGGAAACCCUGAUGCAGCCAUGCCGCGUGUGUGAAGAAGGCCUUCGGGUUGUAAAGCACUUUCAGCGAGGAGGAAAGGUUGUUGGCUAAUAUCCAACAGCUGUGACGUUACUCGCAGAAGAAGCACCGGCUAACUCCGUGCCAGCCGCCGCCGUAAGAC